rnacentral:rRNA from 1 species
UACGGAGGGUGCAAGCGUUAUCCGGAAUCACUGGGUUUAAAGGGUGCGUAGGCGGUUCGAUAAGUCAGUUGUGAAAUACCCCGGCUUAACCGGCGGUCGUGCGAUUGAUACUGUCGGACUUGAAUCAGGUUGAGGUAGGCGGAAUGUGACAUGUAGCGGUGAAAUGCAUAGAUAUGUCAUAGAACACCGAUUGCGAAGGCAGCUUGCUGGACCUGUAUUGACGCUGAGGCACGAAAGCGUGGGGAGCAAACAGG